rnacentral:rRNA from 1 species
GAUGAACGCUGGCGGCGUGCUUAACACAUGCAAGUCGAACGAGAAGUGAAGACGGAAACCUUCGGGCGGAAGGCGUUAUUUCGAGUGGCGGACGGGUGAGUAACGCGUGGGUAACCUGCCUCAUACAGGGGGAUAACAGUUGGAAACGACUGUUAAUACCGCAUAAGACCACAGCACCGCAUGGUGCGGGGGUAAAAACUCCGGUGGUAUGAGAUGGACCCGCGUUCGAUUAGCCAGUUGGCGGGGUAACGGCCCACCAAAGCGACGAUCGAUAGCCGAUCUGAGAGGCUGACCGGACACAUUGGGACUGAGACACGGCCCAAACUCCUACGGGAGGCAGCAGUGGGGAAUAUUGCACAAUGGGGGAAACCCUGAUGCAGCGACGCCGCGUGAGUGAAGAAGUAUUUCGGUAUGUAAAGCUCUAUCAGCAGGGAAGAAAAUGACGGUACCUGAGUAAGAAGCCCCGGCUAACUACGUG